rnacentral:lncRNA from 1 species
GGAAGAAGGGAGUCUAGCUCUUGCUCUUGCUCCUUCGCCUGCUUGCUGCGUGAGACUGAGUAACUGCUAGAUCCUUGGACUUCCAUUCACAGCUGCGACUGAACCAUUGUUGGGAAUUGGGCUGCCGACUCCCCACGUGCACAGUUGAUCCUAGUUCAGCAGCAUGGACAAUAGCCUAACCUACCCUGGUUGCUGAAAGAAGACAUGUAGAAUGCGUCUGCCCCAAAUGGACACGGCCUUGCAUGACUUCCUACAUCCUUUGCAUAUUCCAGGAUGGUCUGAUGGUGUCUCUUUUCAGCUGGAUUCCCUUCUGUCUGUCGAACUGAUGCCUUCAUAUUUUUCAGGGACAACAAGCAAAAGUUAACAACUGGAAAUCAGUCUCAAGAACCAAAGAAAGAAGAUUAAGGCCACAUGGAUGUCUGGUCUUCCCUUGGAUCUAUUACAAAGCACCCACUCAGUCCAGAAACAUGUAUUAUAAAAACUUAAUUUUGUCUUUCUCCUUGCUGCGAUUAUAUGCAUCACAUGGACACUUCUUUAAAAAUUAAUAUCCUCUUCAUCAAUAUGGACAUGGCCUAGUUUUACUCCUUUUUUGAAUAUAUAAUACUAAAAGUGUGUUCUGCAUUUGAGUAUAUUCUAAUACCAUAAAGAAUAUGAAAAUAUAGAUAGAGUUGAUGAGAUAGGUCAUUGGUUAAGAAUGAUUUCUGUCCUUCCAGUGGGCCAGAGUUCAUCUUAAUACUAAUAAUGGGCAGCUUAUAACUGCCUAUAAGACCUGCUACAAGGGUUCUAACAACCUCCUCUAGCCUCUGCA